GAUGAACGCUGGCGGUAUGCUUUACACAUGCAAGUCAUACGGGAGUUAGUUUCGGCUAACUCCAGUGGCGGACGGGUGAGUAACACGUGAGAAUUCGCCUUUAGGAGGGGGAUAACAGGGGGAAACACCUGCUAAAACCCCAUAUGCCUUCGGGUCAAAAGAGUAAUCUGCCUAAAGAGAAGCUCGCGGCUGGUUAGCUAGUUGGUGGGGUAAAAGCCUACCAAGGCGACGAUCAGUAGCUGGUCUGAGAGGAUGAUCAGCCACACUGGAACUGAGACACGGUACAGACUCCUACGGGAGGCAGCAGUGAGGAAUUCUCUGCAAUGGGCGAAAGCCUGACAGAGCAAUACCGCGUGAGGGAAGAAGGCUUACUGAGUUGUAAACCUCUGUUACCUAAGGAGGAAGAUCUGAUGUUACUUAGGAGACGAAGCAUCGGCUAACUCCGUGCCAGCCGCCGCAGUAAAAC
rnacentral:rRNA from 1 species